UUCCGGUUGAUCCUGCCGGACCUGACUGCUAUCGGAUUGAUACUAAGCCAUGCGAGUCGUUGUAGUAAUACAAGGCAGACGGCUCAGUAACGCGUAGUCAACCUACCCUGUGGACGGGGAUAACCUCGGGAAACUGAGAAUAAUACCCGAUAGAACAUUAUGCCUGGAUUGGUUUAUGUUUCAAAUAAUUUAUUGCCGUAGGAUGGGACUGCGUCCUAUCAGUUUGUUGGUGAGGUAAUGGCCCACCAAGACUAUUACAGGUACGGGCUCUGAGAGGAGUAGCCCGGAGAUGGGUACUGAGACACGGACCCAGGCCCUAUGGGGCGCAGCAGGCGAGAAAACUUUGCAAUGUGCGAAAGCACGACAAGGUUAAUCCGAGUGGUUUCUGCUAAAGGAACCUUUUGUCAGUCCUAGAAACACUGAUGAAUAAGGGGUGGGCAAGUUCUGGUGUCAGCCGCCGCGGUAAAACCAGCACCUCAAGUGGUCAGGAUGAUUAUUGGGCCUAAAGCAUCCGUAGCCUGCUUUGUAAGUUUUCGGUUAAAUCCAUACGCUCAACGUAUGGGCUGCCGGGAAUACUGCAAAGCUAGGGAGUGGGAGAGGUAGACGGUACUCGGUAGGAAGGGGUAAAAUCCUUUGAUCUAUUGAUGACCACCUGUGGCGAAGGCGGUCUACCAGAACACGUCCGACGGUGAGGGAUGAAAGCUGGGGGAGCAAACCGGAUUAGAUACCCGGGUAGUCCCAGCUGUAAACUAUGCAAACUCAGUGAUGCAUUGGCUUGAUGCCAAUGCAGUGCCGCAGGGAAGCCGUUAAGUUUGCCGCCUGGGAAGUACGUACGCAAGUAUGAAACUUAAAGGAAUUGGCGGGGGAGCACCACAAGGGGUGAAGCCUGCGGUUCAAUUGGAGUCA
rnacentral:rRNA from 1 species